CCCGCUGAACUUAAGCAUAUCAAUAAGCGGAGGAAAAGAAACUAACAAGGAUUCCCCUAGUAACGGCGAGUGAAGAGGGAAGAGCUCAAAUUUUGAAUCUGGCGUCUUUGGCGUCCGAAUUGUAAUCUAGAGAAGUGUUUUCCGUGACGGACCGUGCAUAAGUCUCCUGGAAUGGAGUGUCAUAGAGGGUGAGAAUCCCGUAUAUGGCACGGACUCCCGUUGCUCUGUGAUACACUCUCGACGAGUCGCGUUGUUUGGGAAUGCAGCGCUAAAUGGGUGGUAAAUGCCAUCUAAAGCUAAAUAUUGGCGAGAGACCGAUAGCGAACAAGUACCGUGAGGGAAAGAUGAAAAGCACUUUGGAAAGAGAGUGAAACAGUACGUGAAAUUGUUGAAAGGGAAACGCUUGAAGUCAGUCGCGCCGUUCGGGAUUCAGCCUUGCUUCCGCUCGGUUUACUUCCCGUUGGGUGGGUCAACAUCAGUUUCGGUCGGAGGAGAAAGACGUGGGGAAGGUGGCAGCAUUCGUGCUGUGUUAUAGCCCCGUGUUGUAUACUUCGACUGGGACUGAGGAUCGCAGCACGCCUCUGGCCGGGGUUCGCCCACGUACGUGCUUAGGAUGUUGGCAUAAUGGCUUUAAGCGACCCGUCUUGAAACACGG
rnacentral:rRNA from 1 species